rnacentral:rRNA from 1 species
UACGUAGGGUGCGAGCGUUGUCCGGAAUUAUUGGGCGUAAAGGGCUCGUAGGCGGUCUGUCGCGUCGGUAGUGAAAACUCAGGGCUUAACCCUGAGCCUGCUUCCGAUACGGGCAGACUAGAGGUAUGCAGGGGAGAAUGGAAUUCCUGGUGUAGCGGUGAAAUGCGCAGAUAUCAGGAGGAACACCAGUGGCGAAGGCGGAUCUCUGGGCCAUUACUGACGCUGAGGCACGAAGGCCAGGGGAGCAAACGGG